rnacentral:rRNA from 1 species
UACGUAGGGUCCGAGCGUUGUCCGGAAUUAUUGGGCGUAAAGAGCUCGUAGGCGGUUUGUCGCGUCUGCUGUGAAAUCCCGAGGCUCAACCUCGGGCCUGCAGUGGGUACGGGCAGACUGGAGUGCGGUAGGGGAGAAUGGAAUUCCUGGUGUAGCGGUGAAAUGCGCAGAUAUCAGGAGGAACACCGAUGGCGAAGGCAGGUCUCUGGGCCACUACUGACGCUGAGAAGCGAAAGCAUGGGGAGUGAACAGG